GUCCUUGUAGCUUAAAUAAAGCAUAGCACUGAAGACGCUAAGAUGGUCGACACAUGCACCCCCGAGGACA
rnacentral:tRNA from 1 species